CUUGCCUCCCCCACCGUAGCCCACAGCCCUGGCGCCCGGCGCCCUCACCAGCAGGCACGGCAGCCAAGGUCGCCCCAGGCCCUUUUCUGUCACUUGCGCAAAUUGACAGCCGGUGACAGAAGUCCACUUCCACGAAAUUGAAAGCCCCAGGACUUGUACCCGCACCCGUCCCCUGUUACCCCCCGUUGGUGCCAUAUCUCUCCUUCCCUGGCCUUUCCAUCAUUAAUUGGAGAGCAUCUGUUCUUCCAUUGUGUUUCCACCACCACAUGGGUGGGAUUAUUAAUUGUCCCAGCAAGGCACUGUUGUAGGCGCUAAGGGACACAUAGAAGAGCAAAGCCUAAGCACUGCUCUCAAAGAACUUAAUAGUGAAAGUCCCAAAGUCUUAGUUAUUUAUGCUCAGUCUCUAAAAUUCAAGGUUAUUCGUAGCCCUUGAUGUACCCGACCUUAAUCUCUCCACAGUCAGGCACCAAGACACCAUACACAAGGUGUCCUCAGGAUUCUGCCCCUUGCCUUUCUUAUCUCUCCAAGACUUAUGCAUACUUUCACCUUCUGGACAGCCCAGACUGGAGAUGUGCCCUCUUGCUUUGCUCUUAUUUUUGUUUGCCCCACCCCCUCCCGUGGAAAUGUUUGUUGUAUCCAACACUUCUGUGAUCUUUUUGGUUAGUUAGAAUUAUGUUUUAUUAAAAUAAGAAUCCAUGUCUUUGGUAUGGUUAUUUCUGUUCAACAUUGUUUAUUUUGGAGUAGUUAAUAUAUACUUAUCCUCAGUGACUCAGAACGUGGUCAUAACAUGCUAUUGGGCU
rnacentral:lncRNA from 1 species